rnacentral:tRNA from 1 species
UCUAUGGUGGGUCGAGGAGGACUUGAACCUCCGACCUCACGCUUAUCAGGCGUGCGCUCUAACCACCUGAGCUACCGA